AGAGUUUGAUCCUGGCUCAGAACGAACGUUGGCGGCGUGGAUUAGGCAUGCAAGUCGAACGAAUCCCGGUCGGGCAACUGACUGGGGGAAGUGGCGAAAGGGGCAGUAAGGCGUGGGUAACCUACCCCGGGGACCGGGAUAGCCACCCUAACGGGUGGGUAAUACCGGGCGAUGUACGCGGAGGGCAUCCCCUGCGUACG
rnacentral:rRNA from 1 species